rnacentral:rRNA from 1 species
GAUACCCUAUUAUUUUAAAUGUGAAUUUUUAAACUGAAAUUAUUAUUAGUUAAGAUCUUUAAAGUUAAAGAUUUUGGCGGUAUUUUAGUCUUUUCAGAGGAACCUGUCUUUUUAUCGAUAAUCCACGAUUAUUUAUACUUUGUUUAAUUAAUUUGCAUAUCGUCGUUAAAUAAAUAUUUUAUUAGGAUUUUAAUGUUUAAGGUUUUUUAUUAUAAAGUAAUUCAGAUCAAGGUGUAGUUUAUAGCAAAGAUAAGAUGGGUUACAUUAUAUUUAUAUGUGGAUUUUCUUUUUGGAAUGGAAAUUAAAUUGGAUUUGAAAGUAAUAUUUAUAUUUAUAUAAUAUGAUUUAGCUCUAAAAUAUGCACACAUCGCC